rnacentral:rRNA from 1 species
GACGAACGCUGGCGGCGUGCUUAACACAUGCAAGUCGAACGAUGAAGAAAAGAAUCGAAGCUUCGGCAGAAAUUCAUUUCGGAUUAGUGGCAGACGGGUGAGUAACGCGUGAGCAACCUACCUCUUACAAAGGGAUAGCCUCGGGAAACCGGGAUUAAUACCAUAUAACAUUGUGACAAAGCAUUUCGAUGCAAUCAAAGCUACGGCGGUAAGAGAUGGGCUCGCGUCCCAUUAACCGGAUGGUGAGGUAACGGCUCACCAUAGUGACGAUGGGUAACCGGCCUGAGAGGGUGAACGGUCACACUGGAACUGAGACACGGUCCAGACUCCUACGGGAGGCAGCAGUGGGGAAUAUUGCACAAUGGAGGGAACUCUGAUGCAGCGACGCCGCGUGAGUGAUGAAGGAAUUCGUUUCGUAAAACUCUGUUCUAUGGGAAGAAAAGGACUGUACCAUAGGAGAAAGCUCCGGCUAAAUACGUG